rnacentral:tmRNA from 1 species
GGGGGUGCAAUGGUUUCGACGGGGAUUGCGAAGUGAGGUAAGCGUGCAGAGCCGAUGCGACUCUUUAAUCCGUGUCAACCUUAAAAUUAAACGCUAAUAACGAUUUAAUCGCUGCCUAAACGGCAGGCCGCGGCGUCAUUACGCCGCCCGUUCAACCCGGAGUUACCGACGGUCGGGAUUGGGCGUCAUGAGUCGGUGCACGUGAACUGCGAGUGUCCUUAUAACAGUCACGGAUAAAAGGAAUACCGGACGGGAUCUUGUCUUUUCCGUACCGAACGGGAAAUCUCAGAAAAGAAUAAGCACGUAGAAAGCAGCAUGGAACGGUUUUCGGACAUGGGUUCGACUCCCAUCAUCUCCACCA